rnacentral:rRNA from 1 species
AUUGAACGCUGGCGGCAGGCCUAACACAUGCAAGUCGAACGAGUGGCGGACGGGUGAGUAAUGUCUGGGAAACUGCCCGAGGGAGGGGGAUAACUACUGGAAACGGUAGCUAAUACCGCAUACCAUCGGAUGUGCCCAGAUGGGAUUAGCUAGUUGGUGGGGUAACGGCUCACCAAGGCGACGAUCCCUAGCUUGUCUGAGAGGAUGACCGGCCACGCUGGAGCUGAGCCACGGUCCUGACUCCUACGGGAGGCAGCAGUGGGGAAUAUUGCACAAUGGACGCAAGCCUGAUGCAGCCAUGCCGCGUGUAUGAAGAAGGCCUUCGGGUUAUAAAGUACUUUCAGCGGUGAGGCGUUACCCGCCGAAGAAGCACCGGCUAACUCCGUGCCAGCGGCCGCGGUAAUAC